rnacentral:rRNA from 1 species
UACGGGGGGAGCAAGCGUUGUUCGGAUUUACUGGGCGUAAAGGGUGCGUAGGCGGCGCGGUAAGUCGGGUGUGAAAUCUCGGGGCUUAACUCCGAAACUGCAUUCGAUACUGCCGUGCUUGAGGACUGGAGAGGAGACUGGAAUUUACGGUGUAGCAGUGAAAUGCGUAGAGAUCGUAAGGAAGACCAGUGGCGAAGGCGGGUCUCUGGACAGUUCCUGACACUGAGGCACGAAGGCCAGGGGAGCAAACGGG